AGCUAUAAAAUUAAUAUAUCUUUUUUCUUCAUAUAGGGCUGGAAAAAAUUCUACUCUCAGGAACUGUUGGAGGUGGAUUUAGCUUUGGUACUUCAGCAACACCAACCCAACCGGUUUCUAAUACUGGAUCGUUUAUUACUCCAAACACUACUUCAACUACUGGUCUAACUUCUGGAGGAUUCAAGUUAGGUGGUCAAGGGUCCACAGGCCUAAAUCUUGGUGGUGCUAAAACUAUUGGGCAAGUGGCAACAACACUGAAGCUUGGUGGUAUUGCAACAUCUACAGCCAUAACUACUACUCUUCUCUAGGAAGUCUUUCAUUUUCUGCUACAACAACUGCAUGCGGUUUAACAUUAGGAGGCACAACCAACACCUUUGCUGGAACAACAGGAACAGGUCUCACUUUGUGAGGAGUAGCAUUUACAGGUGGCCUCGGUACAGGUGGUCUUUGAACUGGUGGCCUGGGUACAGGUGGUCUUGGUGCAAAAAAACCUCCUAGUCUUGGAGCUGGAUUAGAAAUUGUUGGAACAGCGACACCCCCU